rnacentral:lncRNA from 1 species
AACAAGUAAAAAAAAAAAACAUAAUGUGGGGAGUUUUUACACAAUAAAUAAAAGAGACCACUUCAGUUGAUCUAUUUUUGCUAUUUAUAUAAAAGAUUCAGAGCUUUUAGACCUCAAAUAAUGCAAAGAAGUUUCAUUUUCAUAAAGUUUUAGGAGUUCAGAAACCAAUAUUUGGUGAAAUAACCCUGGUUUUUAAUCACAGUUUUCAUGCAUCUUGGCAUGUUCUCCUCCACCAGUCUUACACACUGCUUUUGCAUAACUUUAUGCCACUCCUGGUGCAAAAAUUCAACCAGUUCAGCUUGGUUUGAUGGCUUGUGAUCAUCCAUCUUUCUGUUGAUUAUACAGGUUUCAAUUUGGUAAAAUCUCUUAUUUUUUCCAGAGCUGUGUAUAUAUAUUUAUAUAAACAACUAUAUAUAUACUACACAUCCACAGUUCUCAUUCUGACCGUGUAGACACAUAGCUAUAAAAAAUCUUAUUUCUACUUGUUUAAUUAAUUUCAUCUGCUGCAGAAGUUUUAUGGACAGAUAAUUUUGCUCCAUAAUUAGGUAGCUUAAUUCAGAUUUUGUCAGUAAAUACAACAUGUAGUAGAUGCUUUCAAAGGAUAAAAGUACCCAAACCUGGCUACAAAUAUGUUAAACGUAGUUGAAACAGUUCUGUAAUAUUUAUUCAGCUAAUAAUUAAUUAAGAUCUUUUACCAGCCAGUGUCUCAUGUUGUCAGUGUAUUAACAUACUAACAGUAUGACUAACUGAACGUGUUGCUAGGCAGCAGGCUAAAGGUCGCCAGCAUGACAGACCCAGCUUAUUGUACACAACCUGGUGAAGGCAGAGGCACUGAGCACACAGUUCUGCAGGGCAGAGGCCUUCAAAUCCAAACCUUGAAUCCAGUUUCCAGUUUGAAUCCUUAGGCAGACCUUUGGAAGCACUGUUGUGGGAGCAAGAGCGGGGAUUCGUGUAUAUACUUCAGUAUAUUAGUGCAUGGCAUGUAGACUAAACCACGAGGUAAGCUUCUUUAUUGACUGUUAUUUUAGAUGUUAGUUAGAGGGGAGGGC